UGAGGAAUAUUGGUCAAUGGGCGAGAGCCUGAACCAGCCAAGUAGCGUGCAGGAUGACGGCCCUAUGGGUUGUAAACUGCUUUUGUAUGGGGAUAAAGUCAGUCACGUGUGAUUGUUUGCAGGUACCAUACGAAUAAGGACCGGCUAAUUCCGUGCCAGCAGCCGCGGUAAUACGGAAGGUCCGGGCGUUAUCCGGAUUUAUUGGGUUUAAAGGGAGCGUAGGCUGGAGAUUAAGUGUGUUGUGAAAUGUAGACGCUCAACGUCUGACUUGCAGCGCAUACUGGUUUCCUUGAGUACGCACAACGUUGGCGGAAUUCGUCGUGUAGCGGUGAAAUGCUUAGAUAUGACGAAGAACUCCGAUUGCGAAGGCAGCUGACGGGAGCGCAACUGACGCUGAAGCUCGAAGGUGCGGGUAUCGAACAGGAUUAGAUACCCUGGUAGUCCGCACAGUAAACGAUGGAUGCCCGCUGUUGGUACCUGGUAUCAGCGGCUAAGUGAAAGCAUUAAGCAUCCCACCUGGGGAGUACGCCGGCAACGGU
rnacentral:rRNA from 1 species